rnacentral:rRNA from 1 species
GACGAACGCUGGCGGCGUGCUUAACACAUGCAAGUCGAACGAAGUGGCGAACGGGUGAGUAACGCGUAAUCAACCUGCCCUUCAGAGGGGGACAACAGUUGGAACCGACUGCUAAUCCCGCAUACUGAAGGAGGGGAUUGCGUCGGAUUGGCUGGCUGGAGGGGUAACGGCCCACCAAGGCGAGGAUCAGUAGCCGGUCUGGGGGGAUGAACGGCCACAUUGGGACUGAGACACGGCCCAGACUCCUACGGGGGGCAGCAGUGGGGGAUCUUCCGCAAUGGACGAAAGUCUGACGGAGCAACGCCGCGUGAGUGAUGACGGCCUUCGGGUUGGAAAGCUCUGUUAAGCGGGACGCGGUACCGGAAUAGAAAGCCACGGCUAACUACGUGCCAGCAGCCGCGGUAAUUC